rnacentral:rRNA from 1 species
ACGGGAGGCAGCAGUGGGGAAUAUUGGACAAUGGGGGGAACCCUGAUCCAGCGACGCCGCGUGAGUGAAGAAGUAUUUCGGUAUGUAAAGCUCUAUCAGCAAGGAAGAAAAUGACGGUACUUGACGAAGAAGCUCCGGCUAAAUACGUGCCAGCAGCCGCGGUAAUACGUAUGGAGCAAGCGUUAUCCGGAUUCACUGGGUGUAAAGGGAGCGUAGACGGCAAAGCAAGUCUGAAGUGAAAUGCCGGGGCUUAACCACGGAACUGCUUUGGAAACUGUUUAGCUAGAGUGCAGGAGAGGUAAGCGGAAUUCCUAGUGUAGCGGUGAAAUGCGUAGAUAUUAGGAGGAACACCAGUGGCGAAGGCGGCUUACUGGACUGUAACUGACGUUGAGGCUCGAAAGCGUGGGGAUCAAACAGGAUUAGAUACCCUGGUA